AUGCAUAUUUUUGAUUCUGUUGGUAUUGGUGCAAGCAGCGUUGUCCAUAGAGCUAUUUAUGUACCAGUCCAUCGAGUUUUGGCACUCAAGAAAAUUAGCAUUUUUGACAAGGAAAAGAGACAACAGAUUCUUAAUGAGAUCACAACGUUAUCAGCAGCAUCUUGUUAUCCAGGUUUAGUUGAAUUCCAAGGAAUUUUUUACACUCCGGACUCUGGAGAAAUAUACUUUGCUCUUGAGUAUAUGGAUGGUGGUUCAUUAGCAGAUAUUAUCAGGGUCAAGAAAUUCAUAACAGAACCAGUUCUUUCACAUAUGCUACAGAAAGUGUUGCUAGCUCUGCGCUACUUGCAUGAAGUGAGGCGUUUAGUUCACAGAGAUAUAAAGCCAGCAAAUUUGCUUCUAAAUCUAAAGCGUGAUACGAAAAUUACAGACUUUGGUGUAACUUCUGGACUGCAUGAUUCAGUUACCAUGUGUGCUACCUUCCUGGGCAGUGUCACAUAUAUGUCUCCCGAGAGAAUUCGGAACGAAAAUUACUCAUAUGCUGCUGAUAUCUGGAGCCUUGGACUAACAGCAUUGGAGUGUGCAACUGGAAGAUACCCAUAUGAUGUAAAUGGGGGCGAGGCCGACCUCAUGCUGCAGAUAUUGGAAGAUCCAUCGCCAACACCACCACAACAUAUGCAUUCAGAAGAGUUUUGCUCGUUCAUUGAUGCUUGCUUGCAGAAAGAUGCUGAUGCAAGACCAACAUGUAAUGAGCUUUUGUCUCAUUCCUUCAUCAAGAAAUACGAGGGACCUGGUGUGGACUUGGCAGAGUACAACAAAAGUGUUCAUGAUCCAGCGGAAAGAUUAUCGCAGAUAGCACAUAUGCUUGCUGUACAUUACUACCUGAUCUUUGGUGUCACAUGA
rnacentral:rRNA from 1 species